GACGAACGCUGGCGGCGUGCUUAACACAUGCAAGUCGAACGGAUAGGCCCUGCUUUUGUGGGGUGCUCGAGUGGCGAACGGGUGAGUAACACGUGAGUAACCUGCCCUUGACUUUGGGAUAACUUCAGGAAACUGGGGCUAAUACCGGAUAGGAGCUCCUGCUGCAUGGUGGGGGUUGGAAAGUUUCGGCGGUUGGGGAUGGACUCGCGGCUUAUCAGCUUGUUGGUGGGGUAGUGGCUUACCAAGGCUUUGACGGGUAGCCGGCCUGAGAGGGUGACCGGCCAUAUUGGGACUGAGAUACGGCCCAGACUCCUACGGGAGGCAGCAGUGGGGAAUAUUGCACAAUGGGCGGAAGCCUGAUGCAGCAACGCCGCGUGCGGGAUGACGGCCUUCGGGUUGUAAACCGCUUUCGCCUGUGACGAAGCGUGAGUGACGGUAAUGGGUAAAGAAGCACCGGCUAACUACGUG
rnacentral:rRNA from 1 species